GCUCUUUCAGUGGAAGAAACUGUGAUCAUGUCCUUUAAAUGAAGAGGAUGUAAUGCAGAGCCAUAUGAUGCUGUUGUAAUGGGGUAAGCUGGAUCUUCUGUAUGAGUGCCCUACUAGUGAACAAAAAGGAAUAAGUGCACUCUGAGGUUCCCUAAAGUCUAACAUACUGAAGUGUAGAAUUGGCCAGCGACACAUCCAGCGGGUUGUUGGGCGGACCUUGACUGACUGCUCAGUGGGACCGAGCAGCACCACGUUCACUGGACCAAUAAUCAGCCAGACCUUCCUGCAUGAUUCAGCUACCUGACAUUUGGCAAAAUUCACCGAAACUUUUGGAGCGACCGAGAAUCAAGAUGUGGUCGAUGGUUUCACAGUCUUCCGAUGGAGACAUUCGUCAGAUUUACACAUCUGGUGCAUCAGAGAAGACAGCACGUGCUGAUGGAAAAGAGCUCUGGCUGCCUACAACAUGAGAACAGAAAGAAUGGACCCCAACAACGUGGACGUGGUUUGGGGGGGGACUAUUCCAGUGAUGUCACUGCCAGGGCCCAGUACUAUGAGGAUCAUUUGUUUUAACUCUGAGAGCUCCCCCAUUUCUGAGUUAAAGUUAUAUUUAAACAGCAAAUACCAUCAACAUGAAGUAGAAUUAGACAACACUUACUUUUCAUUUGGACUCACUACUUCAGAAUCCACCUUAAAAAUAUGUCACAGUAUCUUGUGAUUGUUUUCUCGACUGUGAGACAAAUUACAUAUUUGUGUGUCUGUUACUGUCUUGCAAAGGUCUGAGUCCUAAUCCAUCAUUUUUUUCAAUACUUAUUGAGAAUUAGUUGACCCACACUUCAUCAGAAAUGAUGAUAAUAAUUUAAUUUGAUAAUAAAGUAUUUAUAGGUCAUUCA